rnacentral:rRNA from 1 species
UACAGAGGUCCCGAGCGUUGUUCGGAUUCACUGGGCGUAAAGGGUGCGUAGGUGGCUUUGCAAGUCUGAUGUGAAAUCUCCAGGCCCAACCUGGAAACUGCAUUAGAAACUGUGAGGCUAGAGGCUUGGAGGGGGAACUGGAAUGCUCGGUGUAGCAGUGAAAUGCGUAGAUAUCGUAAGGAAGACCAGUGGCGAAGGCGAGUCUCUGGACAGCAACUGACGCUGAGGCACGAAGGCCAGGGGAGCAAACGGG